AGAGUUUGAUCCUGGCUCAGGACGAACGCUGGCGGCAGGCUUAACACAUGCAAGUCGAGCGCCCCGCAAGGGGAGCGGCAGACGGGUGAGUAACGCGUGGGAACGUGCCUUUCGGUUCGGAACAACUGAGGGAAACUUCAGCUAAUACCGUAUGUGCCCUUCGGGGGAAAGAUUUAUCGCCAUUGGAGCGGCCCGCGUCUGAUUAGCUAGUUGGUGAGGUAAUGGCUCACCAAGGCGACGAUCAGUAGCUGGUCUGAGAGGAUGACCAGCCACAUUGGGACUGAGACACGGCCCAAACUCCUACGGGAGGCAGCAGUGGGGAAUCUUGCGCAAUGGGCGAAAGCCUGACGCAGCCAUGCCGCGUGGAUGAUGAAGGUCUUAGGAUUGUAAAAUCCUUUCACCGGUGAAGAUAAUGACUGUAGCCGGAGAAGAAGCCCCGGCUAACUUCGUGCCAGCAGCCGCGGUAAUACGAAGGGGGCUAGCGUUGCUCGGAAUUACUGGGCGUAAAGGGCGCGUAGGCGGACAUUUAAGUCAGGGGUGAAAUCCCAGAGCUCAACUCUGGAACUGCCUUUGAUACUGGAUGUCUUGAGUGUGAGAGAGGUAUGUGGAACUCCGAGUGUAGAGGUGAAAUUCGUAGAUAUUAGGAGGAACACCAGUGGCGAAGGCGGUCAUCUGGGUCAACAUUGACGCUAAGGCGCGAAAGCGUGGGGAGCAAACAGGAUUAGAUACCCUGGUAGUCC
rnacentral:rRNA from 1 species